UACGAAGGACCCGAGCGUUAUCCGGAUUUAUUGGGUUUAAAGGGUGCGUAGGUGGCCCUGUAAGUCAGUGGUGAAAUAUCGCAGCUCAACUGUCAGGGUGCCAUUGAUACUGCGGAGCUUGAGUACAGAUGAGGUAGGCGGAAUUGACGGUGUAGCGGUGAAAUGCUUAGAUAUCGUCAAGAACACCGAUAGCGAAGGCAGCUUACUGGGCUGUAACUGACGCUGAGGCACGAAAGUGUGGGGAUCAAACAGG
rnacentral:rRNA from 1 species